GCGAAAGUGGCGGAAUUGGUAGACGCGCAAGGUUCAGGACCUUGUGGUAGCAAUACCGUGGGGGUUCGAGUCCCCCCUUUCGCACCA
rnacentral:tRNA from 1 species